CAGCCGCCACGGUAAUGCGUAGGUCCCGAGCGUUAUUCGGAAUUACUGGGCGUAAAGCGCACGUAGGCGGCUUUGUAAGUUAGAGGUGAAAGCCCAGAGCUCAACUCUGGAAUUGCCUUUAAGACUGCAUCGCUUGAAUCCAGGAGAGGUGAGUGGAAUUCCGAGUGUAGAGGUGAAAUUCGUAGAUAUUCGGAAGAACACCAGUGGCGAAGGCGGCUCACUGGACUGGUAUUGACGCUGAGGUGCGAAAGCGUGGGGAGCAAACAGGAUUAGAUGCCCCUGUAGUCCCUGUCUCUUAUAC
rnacentral:rRNA from 1 species